rnacentral:rRNA from 1 species
AUUUUGGACAAUGGGCGCAAGCCUGACCUAGCCAUGCCGCGUGAGUGAAGAAGGCCUUCGGGUUGUAAAGCUAUUUCGGACGGAAAGAAAUCGCGCAGGCUAAUACCCUGCGCGGAUGACGGUACCGCCAUAAGAAGCACCGGCUAACAAUGUGCCAGCAGCCGCGGGAAUACGUAGGGUGCAAGCGUUAAUCGGAAUUACUGGGCGUAAAGCGUGCGCAGGCGGUUCGGAAAGAAGGAUGUGAAAUCCCAGGGCUCAACCUUGGAACUGCAUUCUUAACUACCGAACUAGAGUAUGUCAGAGGGGGGUAGAAUUCCGCGUGUAGCAGUGAAAUGCGUAGAUAUGCGGAGGAAUACCGAUGGCGAAGGCAGCCCCCUGGGAUAAUACUGACGCUCAUGCACGAAAGCGUGGGUAGCAAACAGG